CAAAAACAUUGCUCUUUGAAUCUAAUAAAGAGUAAGACCUGCCCAGUGGACUCAUUCUAAACGGCCGCAGAAUUUUAACUGUGCUAAGGUAGCAUAAUCACUUGUCUUUUAAUUGAAGACUGGUAUGAAUGGUUUAACGAAAUUUUACUGUCUCAUUUAUAUUAAAUAAAAUUUAAUCUUAAAGUUAAAAAGCUUUAAUAAGAUAAAAAGACAAAAAGACCCUAUAGAGUUUUAUUUCAUAAUUUUUUCUAUAAAUUCACUGAAAUUUUGUUGGGGCAACAAAGAAAAAAUAAAUUUUUCUUAAGUAAAAAAAUAUGACUUAUCAUUAUUAUUAAUAAAACAAAAUAAAUUACCUUAGGGAUAACAGCGUAAAUUUUCUUAGAGAGUUCAAAUCGAAAAGAAAAAUUACGACCUCGAUGUUGGAUUAGAGUAACUUAAAAUAGAAAAAAAUUUUAAAGGUAGUC
rnacentral:rRNA from 1 species